GAAAUGCGAUAAGUAAUGUGAAUUGCAGAAUUCAGUGAAUCAUCGAAUCUUUGAACGCACCUUGCGCUCCUUGGUAUUCCGAGGAGCAUGCCUGUUUGAGUGUCAUGUAAUUCUCAACUCUAUUUGCUUUUGUGAAUAGAGCUUGGAUUUGGAGGUUUAUUGCUGGUACUUGUGAUCGGCUCCUCUUGAAUGCAUUAGCUCGAACCUUUGCGGAUCAGCUAUCGGUGUGAUAAUUGUCUACGCCGUUGCAGUGAAGCAUAUCAAUGGGCUCGGCUUCCAAUCGUCCUUUACUGGACAAUGACUUUGACCUUUGACCUCAAAUCAGGUAGGAUUACCCGCUGAACUUAAGC
rnacentral:misc_RNA from 1 species